UAUGGUUUAAUAUAGUUUUUGGGAUAUUUAGCAUGGUGGAUGUGCUUGAAUGUUUUGGGUUUUGGCAUUGGUGUGGUUGUGGACUGAAUUUGCAUUGUAUCUAUAGCAUGACCCUCAUUCAACUCUUUCUUCUCUCUUCAAGAUUCAAACACGUGGGUACUGUGUAUCAGUACAUAAGUUAUAUUUUGGAAGCUCGGAUAAGAAAACUUCCUUGAUAAAAGUUGUUCAUCUGCUUGAGUACUAUAGCCUGCAAAAUUUGUAGAAUUCUUUGAAUUUUUCUGAUGCCUCAAAGCUGGUCUGAAACCUCUGUGUUCAUCCAUGGCUGGAAUUUAUUUAAAGAAGAUGAGAGCAUGCAAAUGUUGAAGCAUUCAUCUUCAUAAAACGAGCAUCUUUGAGAAUAAUGAUGGUGGUGAGGAAGUUAUGAUUUAUAAGGGAAAUAAUAGAUUUCAAAGGUAUGAGGGAUUGCAUGAGGAGGCAAUAGUCAGGUGGAGAAUGGAUGAAUGUAGGAAAAUAUGCCUUCGGCACCUCUUUUUUUCACGAGUACCUCGCCAACGUCUGUAUCUUUUUUCAGACUUGAUUGAAAGAGUCCAAAGCAUGAGAAGAACAAGCUAGUCGUUGAGGUCACUUCAAGUGUUCUUUUAGAGAUGCAAUGAGUUUGUUUAAUUGUUGUAAAGAUGGAUUGAGUUCUGAAAGUUAUGAAGCACAUACACUAGCAGGAUGUUUGAAAUCAGGCAUGUGUUGGAAGAAUGUUUGAAAUAUGGCAAGUGCUAGAAAUUCUUUUCUUGUGGAGCAGAUGCUGGCAGUGCUUUACUUAAUGUGGAAUAGGUGCUGGAAGAACGUGAUUUGGCUUGGCAUGAUUAGCUUGGACUUACUAUGAGGAUGUGGAUAAUCUAAUGGUUGAGUUGAAUCAAGAUAUAGCUUGGC